CUGUAUCAGAACUACCUCUUGGAAGGUUCUCUAUAACGUCAGGCAGCAAGUCAUCAAGACUAAGGAAUGAUGCAAUUCUAUCAAGGGAUACCUUAGUUUGUGCUAUCAUUGAAAUUGUGUCUGGAAGAUUGUAGAUAGGCUCUUGAAGAAUCCUGAAUGUUGCAAGUGCAGAUAAGAUCUUCCCGGACUCAAGUGGGAUCCCCAAAAGCAUGCAAGCAACGAAAGUGACCACUGACACAAAUGUGGGGGCACCCCAGAAAACAAAUGAGGUCAUGGCAGACGUGUAAACAAACUUUCGUAACCAUCCUGCCUCAGUCUUCCUGAGCUCAUUAAUUUUAGACAAAAACUUCAUCUCCCAUGCUUGAAGCUUGAGAAUCCUCAUGUUCCUCAAGACCUCAGAUGUUGCCUUCAUCCUUUUAUCUUUCGACUCCAUUAACUUUUCCUGAAACUUCUCCUGCAAGGACCCCAAAGGAACAUUUGCCAACAUAACAAUUAUUGUUGCAACUAAAGUUGCAAUGGCUGCAAGACCAAGAUUUAUGUACAAAAUCACUAGGGCCAAGCCAACUUGUAGAAUGACCAUCCAUGGAUCAUGCAUGAACCAAGAGAAGUCACCAACCCUCUCAGCAUCAACAGUCAUAAAAUUGAUAAUCUCACCGCUAGUGUGGCCCUGCUUGGACUGGCAUGAGAGGGUCAAACCCUUAUUAUAGAUCGCUGUAACAAGUACUGCUCGGAUUCUUACUCCUACCUGUUGUGCCUUAAAGAACCAGUGCCUUUGACUGAGGCACUCCACCAGCUUCGCAAUCAUAAAUGCAGAAACCAAAGCGUAGCCUUCAUUUUUGAACUUUCUCCGCCCAUAGAGGUAUUGAACAAAUGUGUCGAUUAGAUAUGGACCGACAUAAGAUGCCAAUGUGUAAAAUAUAGCAUAUAACCCUGUCCAGCCAACCUCUUUCCAGGCCGAGAAUAUCAAUGCCUUCACCAGAUGAAAUGUGGUAACCCUGCCAUCCGCACCACACUCCGCCUCAAGUUUAUUUCUAAAAUUUGGAAAGGACCCAACUACACUAUCACCCUUGUAUAGUUCAGGAACAUCCUCAAGGUCUAAUGUCUUCUUAUUGCCAAGCGCAAUUAGAGGACCCAUCCAAGAAAGAGUAAGGAGGCUGAAAAUUCCAGCAUUUGAAUAAGGGGUAACAGGUGUACGCCCUUUGGAAUUAUUUGACUCUGCAUUACCAUUACCAUUACCAUUCAAAAGGGGUUCCUCAAGAACUGUAUUUCUGCCCUCUUUCUUCCCAAAAAACCCCACAUAUAUAAAGAACAAACCCGAGAUGACGCAGACAACAUCAAAAACUAAAGAUUGAACGGGCAAGGAAACGUGUUCCUUGUAAAGAAGGAUAUCUAUCACAAGGGAAUAGCAAGAGAUAGAAAAGUAGGAACCCCACCAAAGUCUCAAUAAAUUUGGGAACUUUGAUUCAGAAGAAUUAGAGAACUGGGUAUGCAAGUAGAUACAAAGAGCACCCCAGGCAAGUGUUCUAAUGGCUAAAUCAAAAAGGGUCACUAGCUUUUCCUCAGACCAAUCAUUUCUAUGCCAAUAGAAGUAGUUCAAUAAACAAAAAACAAGACUGAGCCCAGAAACACCAAGACAACAGAGUAAAGUUAGCUUAUAAUACCAACUUUGAACACUCCCAAACCUCUGUUUUGGACCUUCUCCAUCACCCACCUUGAAUUUCUUCCACACCCAAGAGACGAGCAACACAAAUAACAAAACUAGGUGUAAUGAGCCAGAAAACCCACGUAUGAAAACCGGUUUGAGAAGAAAAUCGGUACCUGGAUACGUAAUGAAUGAUGAUGAGUAGUGUGAGAAGAAGGCUGAGAGAGCACCGUGCUUUGAAGAAUCAAAAAGCUCCAUAAUUUGUGGAGCUUUUUGUUGGGGGCUCUCUGAAAUUCUGGAAAAUGGGGUUUUGGUUGGAAUGGUUUGUUAUAUAGAGGGGAGAGAGAGAGAGAGAGAGAGGGAGAGAGAGAGAGAGAGAAAUUAGUUUGUGGACGACUCAGGGAGUGUAGUCAGAGAAUGGAGAGUCAAAUGUCAAUGUGAAUUUUUCCUGGAAGGUAGGCUAACGUGGUGCCCAAGACUCACAUCACGGAGAUAGCUAUAGAUGGCUGCAAAGUGACGCAGAAAAUUGUUGGUUCCAGGAAAUAUGUGAACUGAUGAUAGAGAGCGAUAGACCAAUCCAUUAUAAUCUCUCUCUUGUAGAGCCCACCAAAUUGUAUUUUAUCAAUUUAAACCUUCUAUUUUUUAGAUAUUUAUUCAAAAAUUAGCUCUAUUUAAAUAAAAUCAUUCUAUAUAUUUCUGUGUUUGAGGAAAAUUAUCAUAUAAAAUUGUUAUGUAUAGUUGACUUUGACUAAAGAGAUUCUAUAUGUGAUAUUUUUAUCUGUGGUGGGGAAAUGAGAGAACUUGAACCCAGCUUUGACACACAUAACAACAACAACAAAAAAACAAAAAAAAUAUAAAAAGAAACUGGAAAAAGUAUAUGGUAGAGAGGAAAGUUAGUGUAUGGUAGAGAGGAAAGUAAGCAAAUCCCGAUCACACAAGCCAGCCCUACAACCAGCUAAUGUCUGAGUUUACAACCAAUCUCUAUUAAAGAGCAAGACCCACCAUGAUGUGAUGUGGUGAAUGUGGUUUUGUGUGCACAGCAAGAUAAUUGAUAAUUUUGGAUCUUCUUGUGUUAAAUCAUAUGCUGGACUUACUAAGGUAAAAUAAGAAAAUAAGGGCAUAUCUGGUAAUGUUUUUAUAGAAUAUUUUUAGAGAAUGCUUUCAGAGAAUGAAAACGAGAAAACGAAUUUGCAUUUUCAGAAUUCAAGAAUGCAUCUGGUAGAUUAAUUAGAAAACAUAUUCAGAAUAUAAAAACAAUGAGAACAUGUCUGAUAGUACAAUUUGAGAAUAAUAAUAUGUGAGCUAUUUUUCAAGUGUAUUUUUGAUAAUGUAUGUUCUAAACAAAAUAAUUAAAAAUUAAUAAAAUUCUAAUGUUAGAAAAACCUAGAAUUAUCUUUAAUAAUAAGUGAAAAUGAUAAAUAAAAAAGUUGAAUUUUGUUGGUUAAUUGAUAAACUGAACAAGUAUGCAUCUAAGAAUAGUUUUUUAUACACACAAAUUUUUUUUUUCCCCAAAAUAAAUACAGAUUAUUGAGUAAAGAACUUCUUGUAGUAGGAUAUGAGAAUAAAAUAAACAAUGAAGUGUCAUUUCUUUUCAACUUUUGUUUUUUCAUUAAUAUUUUUUAAUGUUUAUUGUAACAAAAAAAACUAAAAUGAUCUGAAACUAAUGUUUAAUUAAAACAAGAUUAUAAAAUAAAAUAAAAAUGUUAGCACACUUUUUCUUCCUCCUUCUUCUCGACUUUUCUUCUCCCAAUUCACAAACUCCCCACUGCCCACCUCCCCUCUUUUUUCACUUUCACUUUCACUCUCUCAUCUCUUUUCAUACAUCCUCUCCUCCCAUGUGUGCUGGUGUCGCUUGGGUUUAUAUAAUACAUGUGAAAACAGCAACAAAAUCACACUGAAACACAUAAUUCAAAUCAAUAACUAUCACCCUCGAUUUGUUCAAUUGGGUUGGCGGUGGCUAUUACGGUUCGAGUGAUUGGGUGGUGAUGGUGGAGGGAGGCUAUGGCUUUGAGGAGUUUGAUUCAAGCCAAGGAUCUGAUUGUGGUGAAGGCUGUGGCCUUGGAGUCAGAGUGGGUCUCACAAAAGAAGGCAAAGAGAGAAAGGAAGAGACAGAGGGGUGUUUAAUUUUUGGGUAUGGGAUUUGAGAAAGGUGAGAAUGGAAUAGAGCAUGAUGAUGUCUUGUUCCAGCUUUAUUAUAGCAUCCACAGUGGGGGUGUAAAUUCGGGGGUGUAAAGCCACUUUUAUAUCCUAUUUACACCCCCGGGGUUGUAAAUACGUUUUUGGCUCCAAUGAAAAAAGAUAUAAAUCUAAGAUGUAUAAUUGUUUUGUUUGUCAUAAUUUGUUUUUGUGUUAAAUUUGUAUUUUGUGUUUACUUUAUAAAAUUAAAUUUUUUUGUAUUAGGUUAAUUUUAAUUUUUCAAACAAAUAGAUUUAAAAAUAUUUAAAUUCGAAAAAGAUAUGAUUUCAUCCAAAAACAUUGGGGAGCAUGAAAAUCACAAAUGAGCAAACAACAUCUGAUUUUUUUUUCAGCAAUUACUGUAGCCGCGGGUCCCAGCCUUUUAUGUUGACUUUUCUUCAUUUUUCUUCUCUUUUCUCGGGUGGAUCCCGCCUACAAAAGAUGUAAAAAUAGAUGUAAAUGUACAUUUUAUUUUACAUCUCUAUGGUGGUGAUGUAUAUUUACAACCCUUUACAUCUCUCCAUUAAAGACGAUUCCGGUGACAAGGGGUGUAUAUUUAACAUACACUCCCAUAUACACCCUCCUAUUGUGGAUGCUUUUAUGUAAAAUUGUUUGGGCAUGGCAAGAAUGUAAUCACAAAACAGUCAUUUUAUAUGCAACGCCAAAGUGACUUGGGGAGUUCAGGUUUAAGCAUGGCAGGAAUGGAUAGCCAUGGUCGGGACUCGGGACUGUAAUUAAAGGGAGGUGGGUGGCAUGUGAUCAAAAUUAACAAAAAAUUAGAAGGGCUUAAUUCUUAUUAUCCUUAUGUUCUGCUCUUACUUAAUUCUUAUUAAAAUGUAAUGGUAAGUUUUUUGUUUUUCAUUUCUUAAAUGUUGAAUGAGAUAUUGAUCAAAUAAGAAAAUUGAUAAACAAGAUAUUGUCAAUGGGAGCUGUUAGUGGCAAUCAAAAAUGUCAUAUUGCACUCAUCGUUUGUAAUUAUAUAAGGGAAAAUUACAUGAUGAUUUUUUUAAGUGCCAAAAAUAGUUCCUUUUAAUUAUAAUAUGAAAGCUAGAAAGUUGAUAUAGAUACAAAUUCUCAUUGAGGAGUUGGGGUUAAUCUUUAGAUUUGAUGACUUAGAUCUAAAUUAUUUAACUUUCCUGCCACAUAGGAUUACAUUCCUUUUUAAAAUAGGGUAAAGUACCGAAUACUCCUUUGAACUAUCAUCCUUGUUGAAAUCUACAUCCAGGAUUAAUUUUUCAGCCAAUUUAGGCAUUGUACUAAAUUUUAUCGCCAAUUUACCACUCACUGUUAAUUUUUGACAAUUUCUGUUCAAAUCUCUGUUAAAAAAGUCACAUGUCAGGCACAUGAUUUAUUGUUGAAUUAAAAAUUAAUUUUUUUAACCUCUUUCUUAUACUCUCUCUCUCUCAGCUAGUCUCGAACCCGGAUGGGUUUUUGGCUUUGAACACAAUCCCAAGCUACUGGAGACCAGCAAAUAUUUUUUUUCUUCCCUGCUUCGCCAAAGAGCUCGAAUGAGAGAAAUCAAUCGAAGAGAGAAGAGGUUAAAAUCAAUCGCCGGAAAAUCCAAAUUGGGGGCUGGGUAAUAUGGGUUUCGAUUGUGUUGGUUUUGGGCACAGAUAUAUUUAAGUAGGCUGCGGAGUAGAGGAAUGAAAAAUUGAAUUUACUUCCUGCAAAAUUUUAUUAAGAUGCUGGAUACAAAUUAAACCUUACUUUAAAGAAAAAAUUUCUAGGGUAGAGGAUUGCCAAAAGCAAGCUAAAUAUCCGAGUAAGGCAGCAUCAGGUGGCUAACAAUAAUUACAUCCUCAUCCCGUUUCAACAUACCAGAUCAGAGAGCCUUGAUAUCUACCUUCCCUUGACACACACUUGACAAUUGAGGUACUUCGCCAAGAUAUCUGUUCACACAUAUCUCCAACAACUGCUUCUCCGCAGGUUUCAGCAGAGAACCCAGACUCAAAUUCUCAUUUAUGAGACCUUUCAACAGCAGAACUUUAACAACAGAGCACCUUGGAAUAAGUCAAAUUGAACCAAAUUGGGGGCGGGGGUUUUGGAAGAGAUUUUUUGGCGAUUGUCUUGGCUAUUGUUGGGGUAGGGUGAGCUGAGGCAUAGGAGGAAGAAACAGGGAGAGAGAAGAAGAGACGAGGAGAUAGAGAGAGGGUUCGCAAGGGAGCCAGGUAAUUUCGGUUGCAGGGAAUCACGUGGCUAACAUGUCAAAUCUAGACGGAAAAUUGGAUGAAAUUGCAUGAAAACUGACGGUAGGGGUUAAAUUGGCCAUUUAAAAUAAUAUGAAGGAUAAAAUGGCUGAAAAAAUAAUUCAUGGUGGAGAUUUGGAUAAUUAAUAUAGUUCGGGGGUAUUCGGCAGUUUACCCUUUUAAAUAUAUUAUGAUGUAAUCUUUUUAUUUUUUUAUUUUAAAAUUAUUUUUGUUCCAAUGAUGCCUUUAUUCGGGUAAUAGUGUUUUAUGUCAUAAUAAUUAGCCAUUUACAAUAUUUGGCAUUGACUACAAAAGGCAGAUACAGCAGACGGGAGAAGCUAUUUAUAUUUUUUGGCAUUGAUAUAAUUGACUGUGUGGGGGUCUUUUUCUUCCGGCAGCUGCAAAUGGGCUGGGCUGCCGUAAAGGGGAAAUUACUGAAAUUGCCCCCUGUGCUUGAGUUCGAAAAUUAAGCCCCAAAAGCACUUCGAAAGGGCAGUAAAGCCUUAGGAAGUGUUCUGGUUACCUUCACCAACGAAAAUGAUGGCUGCUUACAGGUGAUUUAUGCUUGCUUACAGAUAAAGUUUUAGCUUAGCAUGAGGAGAUUGUGGCAUGGGAGCAAGGUCAGCAUGAGUUGAGCACCAAAGAGGAAAAUAAGGCUUCCUAGGGAGAAAUGGGAGUGUUUAAGAUGAGGGAGACAAGGUUUGCAGGAUGAUCUUGGCUAAAAAGGGGUAAAGGAAGGGCAUUACUUCUUCCGGCAGCUUGACAGACUCUGAAAAUAGUCUGUUAACAGAGAAGAACGAAGAAGAAGAGUGAAUAGGGCUACUGGAUUUUUACAAGUAAGAGAGGAAGCUUGCUCUCUCAGCCUGGGUUGGUUUUUGCUAGGUGGAGGGGACCUCCUUUUAUAGCUGCGGGAAACUAUCCUUUCCCAAGAAACCCUAAUGGUUUCUUCCCAAUCUUGGCAAGUCUUUCCAUCCUUUUUCCUCUCUUCUCUUGACUUUCCUAUCUGGGUGAGAUUUCCCCUUAUCUAUUUGCACAAAAUCAGGAGUUUUGGAGCUCAAGACCCCUUUUCCCGCGGCUGCUUCAGUAGGAAGCUCCACUCUUGGCUACUUUUCUUCUUCUUUCCCUUCUCCUUCCUGGGCCAGCACCGAUAAGGGAAAACAACUGGGUGUAUAUGCUGGUUUGAAAGGGUACUCCUCUUCCUGACAACUUACAUGCUAAUAUCCCUUGGUCUCUCUAGUGUUUUGUUUUGGGACUUGAUCCAUUCCCAUGUGCUGGCACUUUCCAGCAGCUCUGUUCAGUGAACCUGCAGACCUCCUCUACGUGGCUUCUACUUUUCUAGCAAAGGGCUGAGGCUUUUGUGGCUUGUUGUGGAAUUUUGUAUGGGCUAAGGUACUUCAUUAAAUAAGUGGGCUAUUUAAACAUUGGGCUUUUGGUUGGGCUAUCCUUUGACUGGGCUAAUUUUGGUUGGGUUAUUUUGAUUGAGUUAUUUUCCCCUCUUUGCUCACCCAUAUAUUUGGGCCUAAGAAAUGGGCUUGGGUUCCGAGGCUCCCAAGCAACUCGGAACCUCCAUUUCUCGUCCCAUCAAUGGGCCUCAUGACCACCUAUUACCAUCCAUACCACAACCCACUCAAGCAAGCCCCAGGCAUCUUGCGUGGCUUGGGCCCACUUAAGCUUGUAGCAUGGCAUGUUGUUUAUUUGCUUGGCGUGGCAUGUGUAUAAGCGCAUAUGGCAAACUUUCGCGUGCCCCAAAUUGGGUUUCUUCUCGGUAAGAUAUCGCAUUGGGCUGAGAAUUUAUUUGGGCCGAAGCGUGGAUUUUUUGGGCCUCAACAGACUGCUUGAUUCUUUUUUAGUUUUUCCAUUAGGGAGUGUAUUCAAUUGAGAUUUUAAAAGACUAUUUUGAGAUAAAAAAGUCUUUUGGUAUUCAAGUUAGACUUUUAAAUAAUCUAAACAAGUUUUGUAGUAUUUCAUUAAGACUAUUAGGAUUUUUAAAAGAGAGUGUCGAAAUCACGUGGCAUUCAAUUAAGACUUUAAACAAGUAACAAAAAUUCUUAUGGUAUUCAAAAACUUGCUAAUUUCGAAAGAUUUUUUAAAAUAUGGAAUUAUGUGGGACUUUUUAGUGGGAGUUAUAAAUACUAAACCUUAUCUCAAAUCUCACCCUAACCUAUGAGAUUUUUCACAUGAAAAUUUUUUUUUUCUCGGGAAAAGAUGAACUUACAUGCACAAAAGGCUUCUCUCUGUGCAUCUCUCGUAUGCGGGUUUAGUUCAAUCGUGCGAAGAGAAGUUGCUCGUGGUACCAAAGCCUCACACCCAGUUGCUGAAUUUCAAUUUUCUCACUCUAUCUCUAAUGGCGGAGCAAAUAGCUCUCCCUCUACUCCUUCACAACCCAGCCCAAAUUUUUGUUAAAAAAAAUUACCUACACUACAUAUGUUCAGCCCACUUAAAUUAUACAAACCUAUCAAACACACCAUCCCAUCCUCCCGUGCAAUUCUUCUCCUCCUUUGCAAAACAGACAUAAGUUCUCUGUAGCCAGCCAACAACUCCUCUCUGCAGCCACUGCCAACAACUCCGCUCAACUUCUCUGCAGCCAGCAACUUCUCUUCUUGGCAACAACAAGUAUUCUUCUCAUUCUCUCCUUUUUAAUUAUCUUAUGCAUCUUUAAUUUGAAUAGAAAAUAUUCUAGGGUUUAAUUAGGAAUGACUUAUAAUUUGGAGAUUUGUUGAAAUUAAUUAGGGUUUUGAUUUUAGAAAUUUUGUUGAGAUGUUCAAUGUGUUGUUGGUAUUGUUGAUAUUUGAUUUGUGUGUUGGUAUGUUUGAUUAAAUGCAUUAAUUUGUUGUUGGUAUUGUUGAGGUGUUUGAUUUGUGUGUUGGUAUUUUUGUUGAAAUGUUUGAUUAAAAUCAUUUCUACAUAUUAUUUAUUUUAUAGGUUAUCUCUUAUUGUGUCUGCUCACAAUCGGAACCCCAAGAAAAUAAUGACUUUGUUGUCUUUUUUUAAGAAAAAGAAUGAUGACAUCAUCUAAUACAAAUAUCAAUUAUCUUGAACAUGAUCCAGAAGUACGUCAUCUAAUAUGCAAAUAUUCGGUGAAGGAACAAGAUAAUGUGCAAAGAGCAUAUAUUCUUUUAGGGUCAUGUCAACCCGAAUUAGAAGAUUAUUCAAGCCACUUAGAAGGGAAAAUCUUACGUUGAUUUAAUAAAAAGUGGUUUGGCCAAUUCUCUUGGCUUGAGUAUUCAGUUGCUACGAACAAGGCAUUUUGUUUUUCUUGUUUCCUAUUUGAUAGAAAUCAAUAAUUUUCGGCCUUGUUUUCCUUGGUUCCUAUCUACAGCAAUAACGGAAUGAGUUUUCUUAUGUAUGAGAAUUAUUGAAUCAACUUAGAAGCACCAAAGGUGAUGAAUUUCUUGCUGAUUGUAUGAUCCUCCACAUUGAAAGAGAGUUUGCCAAUACUAUCGACAAUGCAUCAAUAAUUGAGGAAUUUAAGAGUUCUAAGCCUCGUAGGGUUAAAUUUUAUAUUUAAAUAAUGUUGUUUUGUAUUGCAUUACAUUGCAUUUACUUUUGGUUUUUAUUUUAGUUUUUGUAUUUGUAGAUAUAUAUGAAUUUGAGGGUAAGGCUCAUUACGCUCCCCCUCACUAUAUGUAUCUUUUUAUGUUUAUUAAUAAAAUUCACUCGUACCAUCGAGUUUAGUACAUAAAUUUUGCCCGGUCAGCUUUUGAAUCCUAUGACCGCCACUGCACCACCCUCUUCAAGACCCUUCUUCCAAAACCAAAACCCAGCCACACCAACACCACCUCCACUUCCUCCACCACCAUCGCCGCAGAUAACCCCUCUUCUCUAAGAGCUCCUCCUCCACCCAAACCCCUCAACCCAAAACCGAACCUCCCCUCCCACCCUCGCCAGAGCACGCACUCGCAUCGGCAAGUCACGUGAUGGUAGAACCUUAUAUCUGAAAAAGAAAAGUUGCAAAAAAAUAGAGAAAAGAGAAAAGGAAAUUCAUUUUAUUUCAUUUCAUUAAUUCCUCUUAAGCAAAAGAGAGAGCGUUUAUACAAUUCCUGAUUUUGGCCAGCUGGCUAUGAUCUAGCAAAGUUUCUAACAAAACUUCCUACAAAUAGGGAAAGGACAAAGUUGUUAUUAUGUGUGGGAAUAGCUAGGUGAUGAUACUAAGGGAAUACAAAGGUGAUAGUAAGUGGGCUGCUGUUCACCUGUUUCGUGGUUGUUCCUGUAAUGCUAGGGUGAAGUUCCCCAUUGCCUUGAAAACCAUUGCCUGGUCAACAAGUCAACUUUUUUUAGUGUGCGAGCGUGCCACUGCUAGUAACGAAAAAUCCUAGCAGACUUCGAAAACAGAUAACUUGCGCCCCAAGUUAUUGAUUUCUAAACAAGCGAAUGCGAAUUUGGGUGAGGAAUAUCUCCCAAGUAAGUUCUUUUCUUGCCUCAGACUGGUGAGGACUUCACAAUUUUCACAGUGCAAUAUUGGUAGUUCUGGCUAGAAUAAAUAGUAAGAAAAUGGGUUGUUUUCAGGCAGAACUGACUUUUACAAAACUCGUAAUGGAAAAACCAACUCUAGAAAGACAAAAAGAAGGCUGGACUUCCAUUUCUACCUGGAUAGAUGCUUCUGAUCCGGGCUGGACUGGAUAUGCUUGUACUGGACUGGGCUGUCAGCAAGUUCAACUGUUAAGUUUCAGCUGUAAAUUGAUACCAACGUUCGAGUUUGGCAGAGCUUUAAUCUAUUUCAAGCCAUGGAAGGCUCUUUGAACGGACAGAAUUGCGGCCUCCUCAGUUUGAAAGGGGCAGAAGUGGCUAGAUUCAAGGAUUACUGAGCUGAUACUGCACUGUGAUGCCUGUUUUGCUUGAUCAGGGCUCUUCAUAAAUUUGUUGAGGUUUUCAUAUUUGUAAAAACCUAGGCUCUACUUGUCUUAGCUUUUGCUGAACCAAAUUUGCAACGAGAGAAAUCUCAUUUUAAAUGACUUUUCUCUAAGUCUGAAACUGAAUUGUAGCUGUCUUCUUUCUUGUGGCUCAGUGAGCUUUUGGUUGCUUCAGUUUGCUUGAAGUUCUUUUUGAGAUCAAGUGAUCAUUUUGAGUUUUUGUCAUUUGGCUGAUUUUUGGUUGUUUGAUUCAUUGUUCUUGAUCUGUUCACCUCCUCUCAUAUUUAUAGCAAAUGCUGGAGUGAGUAUUUUAAUCUUUUAAAAUGGGCGGCAGUUUUUCUAAAAAACAAGAUCUUUAUUUUUUUUUAGAAAAAAGGGAAGUUAUCUUUAUCAAAAAUAGACUAUCAAUGGUAAGUUUUAAGUCAAUCACUUCCCUACUUUUCUUUAAAAGACAAUCUAAUCUCUCUGCUCUUGUGAGAUUUCAAUCUACCAUGAUGGUUAGUUUGAUUUUCCAGAUGAGCAACUCCCUGCACCCUACUUAUCUGUUUAGAAAAUAUAGCCUGCUUAUCUCUUGGAAAUGGUACCUGCUUUAGAGCAUAAUUUUUCUGAAUAUAAAAAAGGUAUUGUGAUUUUCUUUUGCCUGAAAAAAGCUGGAGACUUUUGCCUGUUUUAAGACCUGCUUUUAUUAACUCCUUAUUAACCCAGUUGAAAUUGCUGACUUUUCAAAGUCAGGAAUUCUCGUGGGUUUGCCUCCAAUUUUGGGCCUUUCUUCUCUUUUAAUCAUACUCAGGCCCAGGUUGAGUUUUGAAACUGUGGGCUGAUUUUCCUUUUUUGAAGCCCAAAUAACAGUUUUUGGGCUGGGCCUUCUUGGAUUUGGGCUUUUGAAUUCAAAUGCAAAGCCUAAUCUGCUUGGGGCCUGAAAUUGCUUCGUUAUUCUGGGCUUCCAGUGUUGGGCUGAGUGUGUAAUUUUGACAUGGGCUUUUAAUAUUUGGACUGGGUGUGCCAAAUUUAGGCCCAAACAGCUGCAAAGAGUAUUAGGCCCAAAUGGGAUUAGGUCCUAACACGUGACUCCGGCCAUGGCAAGCCUUGGUCCCACCACCACCUCUCCUCUCAAGGUCAGCAUAUCCUUCAUUCCUUUCUUGACCCACAAUUUGAUUCUUCUAAACUAGAUGAGCAGCUUUUGGGUUUCGUUGAAUUGCAUAGAGAUGAAUUUGGUUCUAGGUUGGACUCUCUAUCUCUGGACGCCCUGGGUAUUGUUAGAGCAUCUCCAAUCGAUAUGUCAAAAGUGCCACAUAGACAUUUAACGGCUAUAAAUAACAUCUCACAUCACUCCAACUGAAUUGUCAAAGCUGAUGUGGAAUGAAGGUUGGAGGUUCAGCUGUUAUUUUUGACAUUCCAAAAACAAAAUGUCAAAUGAAUAUUUUAUUAUUUUUAAAGACAACUGGCUGUUACUUUCAUUUAUAAUUUUACUUUUUUAUUUUUUUCUUCUUUAUCUUUAAUGAUUUGAUUGUUACAAUAAUUAUUUAUUUGACAUAUCGGGUGGAGUGUAAGACUGUUUAAAUAUCAAAUUGCCACAUCAGCUAUCAAAUUUAAAUUUGAUGUUUGGUAUUUGACAUCUCCCCAGGAGAUGCUCUUAAAGGUUUAGUAUUCUAACAAAAGUGGGCAGGGUUUCUUCUGCAACUUCUUUGUUUCAGAGUUUGCAUAAGGAUGGGUUUUCUCCAAGCGUUGUGUCUUAUGCAAGAGAUGGUUUAUUGGAAGAGGCAAUAAACAUUUCCAUUUCUGAUUCUUAUAACUUGUUAUCGCUGCGGGCAUUGAGUAAGAUGGGUUGAUGUUGUGAGAGCUAAGUUAAUAUCAUGCCCUCGAUCAUUUUCUUGCAAGUAUGAAUAGAUGUGAUUGCUCUUUGCAUAAUUGCAUGCAAUAUGCAAUAUGGGUUGAUGUUGUGAUUGCUCUUUGAAUAGGUGAGGAAAUGAAAGGGACAGGGAAGGACUUUUGAGUAGGCAAUCAAUCAUUAUAUAUUAACCUACAGGGAAUGUACUUAACCAUACAAUAUUUGCAGCAGAAUAUAGCAUAAACUAAAAUACACUGCAAGCUUUAACUUCUAUCACUUUGCACCUCACCGCUUAUGUUUCGUCAUUAUCAAAACAGCUAACCAGUUGAGUAGUUCAUAAAGAAGAUUUGGAAUUUCAUGGUCAGUCAAACUACUCAAAACUGGAAUUCGACCUCACAGUGUACUCUGCCACAAGCUGAGCAAACGAUGACGACUUGUUCUCUAGCAAUGUCGCAGGAGAAUCAUAUUCCUCAAUGAGCCCUACAACAAGAACAAAGAUACAUUAAAAAAUGAAUAAGAAUUUGAGCUUCAGUGGUAACUAGAGGAAGUUGAAUGCAUUCAUUUGGCAACACUAACCAUGACUCAGAAGCAGAACCAUGUCACUAUCAAGAACAGAAGUUAUACGAUGUGCAAUGGUGAUGACUGUACAGUCAGUAAAGUGUUGGCGAAGGGUCUGCUGGAUGAGAUUAUCUGUAGCUGUAUCGACCGACGCGGUAGCUUCGUCAAGCACCAAGACCUUACUUUUCUUGAGCAGCACACGGCCAAGGCAGACCAACUGCCUCUGACCCAUACUCCAGUUCUCUCCAUUCUCACUAACUGCAGCAACCAUAUGAAACAUAAACAAAAGAAUUUCCAUGACGUAAAAUGAAAUCUAGUGCAUCAUAUAUAGCCUGUAUCUUAGAGUAGCCAUAGAACAAACCUGUGGCAUCCAGCUUUCCUUCCUUUCUCCUAACUUCAUCUCCAAGUUGACACUUAUCCAGGGCCUGAAAAAAUCAAAAGAUGUUUUAACUAGUCCCAUGAAUUUAGCACUGCAAAUCUAUAAAUGAAGAACAUUUAGUAGGAAGAAGAUUCCUUUCAUCAGUGUAAAACCAACCAACCUCCCAAAUUUGCUCAUCUGUGUACUCUUCAAGUGGGUCCAGAUUGCUUCUUACAGUCCCUUCAAACAUGGUUGGGUCCUGAGGGAUAAUGCUCAGCCUAGACCUUAGAUCAUGCAGUCCAAUUGAAGAUAUAUCAAUACCAUCUAUCAAAAUCUGGCCAGAAGCAGGAUCCACAAUUCGGAAAAGGGUCUGUAUGACAGUCGUUUUGCCACUGCCAGUUCUACCCACAAUCCCAGUUUUCAUUCCUCCAGGAAAGCUACAUGUGAUACCUCGCAACACAAGUGGCAUGUGUGGGGCAUACCGGACCUAUAUAAACAUGAAAUUCGAGUCACACAUGAAUGACCCCAUACGUUAUGAAAGAAAUAAACCAGAACAGCAAGUACCUGAAGAUCAUGUAUGUCAACUUUUCCACGUAAUGGCCAAGAACGAUCUGGCUGAUUGGAUUCUAUUACAAGAGGAGGCUCACUGGGAAUGGUAGUGUACUGUAGUAAUCUCUCCACUGAUAUAAUUCUGUUCUCCACAUUGCAAAGAUUCCAUGUAAACCACGACUGUAACGUGUUUAGAUUAAGUCCAUAUGUGACAGCUAAGCCCGCAACACCUUCAGAGUAAAAUACCAAAAACAAAUAAGAAAAGAGAGAACUCAUAGAUUUGCUUUACCAUUUGCUUUCAAAAGAAUAAUUAGUAACACGCUAAAUGAAUGCCACUUGCCUGGAUCAAUCACCCCUUCUGGAAUAGAGAUCAAGAAAACCAAACAGAAUCCAAAAGUUAUAGAUGACAACAUAUCCAAGCGAAAACAUAGCCACUCCAUUGCAGCCGCAGUAUGAAACUUAGGCCGACCAUAACCAUCCAUCAGUUUCAUGUUUGUAUCCCUAAAUCUUGAUUCUUGAUCGAAGCUCCUAAUAGUUGUCGACCCUGAAAUUGUUUCAGCAAAGUGUUGUAUCACUGGAGCUUUGCAUACUCCAACCAACCGUGCCAGUUCUCGUGCUGAAGGUAUGUAGUAUUGCUGCAUGAAUAUAAAAAUUUUGAGCAUCUUUCUUCACAUUUAACAUAGUUCAUAUAGAUUGCUGGCUGUAAUAGGAGUUAGGUUUGUUAUAUGGAUUCAUAUUGUCAAUCAUGUUCCAUGUUGUGCCAAUUUAGAAGUUUCUAAGAACUGUAGCAGAAAAAGGUGGAAGAAAAUGUUAAUAUAUCAACUUAGUGAACUUUUGUGUCAAUAAGGAAGCCAAGUUCCUCAGUUCCACAUCAAAUAGAAGGUAGAGCAUGUAUAGGAAUGAAUAACGAGCAUCAACAGUGCAUGAUCAACAAAGAAUUAACACUAAAGGGACAUUAACAUUUCCAUGUUAGAUUUCAUGUGGAAAUUCAUGUAUUGAUACAACAUAUAAGAGAGAAGCAGUAGGACAAAGAAGCGUUACCUGUAACCAGAUACAGAUUGCAAUCACAGGGAUAAAAAUGAUGAAAACCUGCCGUGCAACUUGCGAGAUCACUGCAAUAAUUCCCAGAAGAUGGAUCGAUGAGUUGGCAAGGGCCCCAAUUUGACCCGGCAUGUUCAAGUCCACUACAUUUUGGUCUGUAGAAGCCUGCAAGAAAUCAAUUAGCUACAUUGAUGAGAUUACUGCAUUCAGUACAGCAGCAGAGGGAGUGGUAGCUGUUUAAAGCAUCUAAUUCUCUUUGAAUAUCCCAAUAAGGCACUAUAUUAGAAAUAUAUUUUGCUUACUCUGUUUAGGAUUCGUCCACUUGGAGUGGCAUCAAAGAAAGACAUGGGAGCACGGAAAACGCAUGAAUGCAUUUUACUAAAGAGUAGAGUGGCUGUCUUGUACCCAGCUGUUGCAAGAAACAUGGAUCUGAAGAGGAUACAAAAAGAACUUCCAACGGCCAAAGCAACAUAAACAGUUAGAAGUGUAGAGGUUUGAACAGCAGGUUUCACAUCCUCUGAAACAGGAGUUGCCCAAGCCAUCCAGUAAUUGCUUCCAAUUUGAAGGACCUGAAAGAGAACCUGUGCAAGCAAGAUAAACGGAACAAGAGCACCUCCGUAUGCUGUGGUGAUGUACUUCCAGUAGACUGACAACCCAACUCUACCUUUCUCUCUCUCUUCUUCUUGAACAAGCUGCCCUUUUGGUAAAUCAUCUGUUUUAGAAUUUUGAACAUCAGUGUCUUCUACGUUUUGGACAACCCCACUAGUACUAGCAAAUUCUCCAUCUUCUUUGCUAACGCUUAUUUUUUCAACUGGCUCCACCUCUGCAGAAUUAAGCACGGACAAAGCUUCCGCGUGUGCUCCCACAAGUUCCAUAAAAUCAGUUCCUGAAUUAAGAAUGUCAUUGAACUUUCCUGCUUGAGUAAUCCUUCCGUCUUUCAUGACCUAAUGACAAACAAAUAAGUUUAAGCAGACAGAUACUAACUAGAUAAUAACAUGUCUUCUGGAUUUUUUACCAAGAUGAGGUCAGCAGCAGGUAAGAACUCCAUUUGAUGAGUAACAAAGAUUACUGUUUUUGAACCCAAGAGACCCAGCAAGCAUUCCUGUAGUGCAAUUAUCAAGCAAACAAAUUAAUAAUGAGCUGUCAAUUUUACGGAUGCCAGUAAUUCUAUGAUGUAAAUAAGUUUGGAUACUCAAUUUAAACUAGAUGUAAUCACACUACAAGAGGGAAAUGAAAUACCUUAAAAAGGUGUGAUCCUGUAUGAGCAUCAACAGCGCUAAAAGGAUCAUCAAACAGAUAAAUAUCAGCGUCUUGAUACAGAGCACGUGCAAUUUGUAUUCUUUGCUUCUGUCCACCACUUAAAUUGAUUCCCCUCUCCCCUAUAAUUGUCUGAUCACCAAACGAUAGAAUUUCCAGGUCCUUCUUUAAUGAACAUGCUUCAAGCACCCUCUCAUAUCUUUCUCUGUCCAUCUCUUGACCAAACAAUAUGUUUUCCUCUAUCUUGCCACUCUGUAUCCACGGUGACUGAGAAACAUAGGCCUUUGUCCCACACAUUUUAAGAGUCCCCGAUAUCUUCGGAACUUCUCCCAGAAUACAAGAAAGUAAGCUAGACUUGCCUGAGCCAACAGUACCACAAACAGCAACCCUCAUACCUUGGCUCACUUUGAAAUUUAGAUCCUUCAAUGUUGGACUAGGGGAUGAUAAAUCCCAAGAGAAAUUCCCAUCGACUAUCUCAAUUGCUGUAUCAGAACUACCUCUUGGAAGGUUCUCUAUAACGUCAGGAGGCAAGUCAUCAAGACUAAGGAAUGAUGCAAUUCUAUCAAGGGAUACCUUAGUUUGUGCUAUCAUUGAAAUUAAGUCUGGAAGACCGUAGAUAGGCUCUUGAAGAAUCCUGAAUGUUGCAAGUGCAGAUAAGAUCUUCCCCGACUCAAGUGGGAUCCCCAAAAGCAUGCAAGCAACGAACGUGACCACUGACACAAAUGUGGGGGCACCCCAGAAAACAAAUGAGGUCAUGGCAGACGUGUAAACAAACUUUCGUAACCAUCCCGCCUCAGUCUUCCUGAGAUCAUUAAUUUUAGACAAAAACUUCAUCUCCCAUGCUUGAAACUUGAGAAUCCUCAUGUUCCUCAAGACCUCAGAUGUUGCCUUCAUCCUUUU
rnacentral:lncRNA from 1 species